AUUAAACGCUGGCGGCAUGCUUAACACAUGCAAGUCGAACGGUAACAGGCCCUUCGGGGUGCUGACGAGUGGCGGACGGGUGAGUAAUGCUUAGGAAUCUGCCUAGUAGUGGGGGAUAACCCGGGGAAACUCGGGCUAAUACCGCAUACGCCCUACGGGGAAAGGCGGAGGACUUUCGGUCCGUCGCGCUAUUAGAUGAGCCUAAGUCCGAUUAGUCUAGUUGGUAGGGUAAUGGCCUACCAAGGCGACGANCGGUUAGCUGGUCUGAGAGGAC
rnacentral:rRNA from 1 species